rnacentral:SRP_RNA from 1 species
CGCCGGUCCCCUCGCGACGAGAAGUUGUCAACCCCGUCAGGCCUGGAAGGGAGCAGCGGCAGCAGCGGAUUCGGGUGCCGGGGUGUGGCUGGUUGGG